AAAAAUAUAUAUAAAUAUAUAUUUUUUUACUUUGUGCAUUCAGCUUUGUUAGGGUUUGCCCUACUCGUACCCCUCUUAUGCAUUGCCUUCAAGAUCAAUCAUCCUUUUCUAUUAGGGGAACACUUCCAUCACAAUAGCCUGAUCCAUCAUCUCAGCUCACCGAAGGAAGUCGUCUUUAUCUCUGCCCUUAACUUGUGGUUUUUCUCUUCUCAUUUUUUUCUAAGUUUUCAUACGUUUAUGAUUCAGUUUUCAUUUUGGUGCUUUUGAUUUUUCCCUAGUGUUGAUGUUUCCCAGAAUCUUCCACAUUCAAGAUGGUUAAUAUUCCUAUUACGAUAUCUGAUCAAGAUCUAAAAAAAUUCAUACUUUGGUUUACCAGCUCGAUCUGGAUCUUCAAAGAAGAGAUUAAAGUCCUCACAGCUCCUUUUGAAUUCACAUUAAUAGGAAAGUUUACCUUUCAUCAGUCACUUCAUGUUUCAUACGAAACAAAAAUUUUUCUUCUCUCUUAAAUGUUAUGGUGAAUUUUCUUUUACCAUAUUGGAGCCUUGUCAAAAUCUCAAAUGAUUUAGAUCAUAGUAGGAUCUUUGUGCAUAGAGCAUAUUAAGUGAGCAACUAUUAUAUGACACUUAUUAAGUGGUCAUCGCUA